CUGAUUCAUUCAUUUAUCCAUCCAACAAACACUGAGGACCUGCUAUGCCAAACACUGUAUCAACUGCUGGGGAUACCAAGACAGGAGUAAAGGAAUUGAUGUUGUCCUUCCAUCCAUCCACCACUCCAUGUUGUGUGUCCAUUCCUUCAACAGGUAUUCAGAUUGGGUUCACCAUCUUAUUUGUGGCCUCUUUCCAGUGGCCCCUCUGUUGGCUCUGGAGAAUAAUAUAUUGGAAAUCAGAGUGGGUACGUGGAAACUUGACUACCAAGUAUAGAUGCAUGGUGCCAGAAAAAGCCCAGGACAUUGCAGCAUGGCAGCCCACCAUGCAAGGAACAGCAAUUCUGGUUGUGGUGGACCAAUGUGA